CGGAAGGAGACGGGACAUGACGUCAGACUGCAGCUAAUAAACAUACUACCCACCUCACGCGCCAUCUUCUCACUGGUAACCUCAGCCAGUGUAGAACAUUAUCUAACUCAAGUUGCUUGUAAAAGCUACACAGAACAAUGAGUGACACUGAGGAAGGAAACUACCAAAGGCGGGUUAUUGAUCGUGAAGGAUUUGAAGAGUUUUAUCCAAGAAUGAUGAAGACAAAAUUUCAAGAUAAAAGAAGGCUAAUGAAAACAUGUACAGAGCAGAACAUAGAAGUGGAAAAGGCAGGAAAUGUGACGGAAGACGGGUGUCAGAUAGAAGCGCUUGCAGUGUAAUGGCUAAAAUGAAACUGGUGUCAGUUUGGGUGAAGAGAGGAAAAACCUGGAAUCAGAAAAUGAGAAAACUGAAAAAAGAAGAACGAAGAAGGAUAGAAAACCUGAGAGAAGGGAGUAGCGUGUAAAGAAUCUGGAAGAAUGAAUGUGUCCCUAGGUUAAGUAAAUACACUGUUUGUGUCACAAAUGUCUUUUUCUUGAAAGUGCAUGUUUGAUCUUUUUCCCCUUAAUGACCCAGGCGGACAUGCAAAUUAACCUGUCAUAUACAUAUUUAAUAUAAAUGGUUAAUAAAUGUACACCAAAGAUUGAUAUAUUGAAAUGAUAAAGUUUCUAACUCUUUCUUUACAGUAAAUAAGUUGUGCUUUUUUAGACAGGUGUACUGUAUGUGUACAACAUACUUCUCCACUACUCUGUUUUAGUUUCUUUCUGUGCAAAGAAGUAAGUGUACUUGUCCAUGAGAAAGUUGUUAACAUGCUGCCCUGACAAUAGGGGUCACGCUCCCCGCCUAAAUCUGAUCGUGGGAGUCUGGAUCGGGUCAAGUCAGAGAGCAGGUCCGGCUCCCUUAGCCCAGCCAGGGCCUCUGUACGCUCUGAGUCCAGAUCCCGCUCUCAUUCAAGAUCGAGGUCUCAAUCAAGGAGGCACUCAAACCGGCGCUAUAGCCGGUCACGCUCCCGUUCCUAUUCCAACCGAAGGAAGUCCCGCUCCCGUUCCUACAGCCAGGAAUACCGUCGCAAGAAGAGCCAGAGCAAUUCCCCGACGUCCAGCCGUCGCCGUCAGACUGGCAGCAGAAGCCAUGACAACACAAAAGAAGCAUGCAGUCAUGGCGGUGGUGGUGACGCUGAUGUUAGGGCAAACCCUGACCCCAGCACAUGUGUGGGUGUGUUUGGCUUGAGCCUGUACACCACAGAGCGAGACCUGAGGGAGGUGUUUUCGCGCUACGGACCUCUGGCAGGGGUCAAUGUGGUGUAUGACCAGCGCACAGGUCGCUCCCGAGGCUUUGCCUUUGUUUACUUUGAGAGACUUGAGGACUCCAAGGAGGCAAUGGAGCGAGCCAAUGGCAUGGAGCUGGAUGGCAGGAGAAUCCGAGUGGAUUAUUCCAUCACCAAACGUGCACAUACCCCCACACCAGGAAUUUACAUGGGCCGACCGACUCAUAAUGGUGGUGGUGGCGGCGGCGGCGGGGGUGGUGGGGGCAGCGGAGGCGGUGGCGGUGGCGGUGGCGGUGGCAGCAGCAGCAGGAGGGGGAGAGACUCUCAUUAUGAUCGCGGCUAUGAGCGUUGUGACAGAUAUGAGGAGUAUGAUUACAGGUAUAGUCGCAGGCGCUCUCCGUCACCUUACUACAGUCGGUACAGGUCUCGCUCACGCUCUCGCUCCUACAGCCCUCGACGAUACUAAGUUGCUCCUUUUGGCGUUCAACUUCCCUCCAAUAAUUGAUGGUGUGUGACUCAUCACUGUGUUUUCUGUUGGGGACAUUUUCAAUAAGCAUGCGUUUUUCAACACAACUCUUCAGUUUGUGAACGCUCUUGUUUACAUGCAAUAGAUGUCUUAAUUUUUUAAUGUUUGACGCAACCGAGCUGAGUGUGAGCAAAGAACUCAACUACUGUUUAUAACUGGCCUCGUUCAACUUUCAUCUCUCGUGUCUGUAUUUUCUACAGCAAUGAUGCUUUUUUCUGUCAUGUGAUUAUUAGAUUUGUUGCUUUGAUCACUGCUGUCGUGUACGGUGAGAAAUUCAAGUAAAUGACUACAUAUGUCAGACGAUAGGAGUUUGGUUAUCAUCUGUGGGAGAGAAAUGUGAUUUCAAUGAUUAAAGUCAGAAAUUCAAAUUAAAACCAUUUUUUUUUAAUCAUCCAGGAUCCGAGUCGCUUCUCUCUGGUGUGUUAACUGAGGAGACUACAGCUACACACUACUCAAUUAGGCCAACAAAACACACCUGUUCUUGAACUUUUUUUAGUGAAGUGCCCCAAGUUUCUCUUCUACUAUUACAUUUUUCUAACUUGAUUUAUGAAAAACAUCCCUCAAUACUUUUUUGGAUUCAAAAUGUGUGUAAUUUUAUCAAGUGGGUUGGAAAAGUGUAAUUUUUAAAGCCUAAUUUCUAGGCAUAAUAUUGCUUUAAUGAUUAUUCAUAUCACAUCAUUCCAAAGCUAAUCAUAAAUCAAUGAGGUCAUGCAUCCAUAUCCUAAAAGUCAUGGCAAGGCGAUUUUGAAGUGUUGUUUUCAUAUCUAAAAUUGAAGAUUGAUGCGAUGUGGUUUCAUGUCAGACACGAACAAGAAACCCUUUCUGUUCUUGCAAUUUUGUGACCUUAAUCUUUGUUUUGUUGAAAAGUUUAACUUUAAUCCAAGGUUAUUUCAUAGUUAGUACUCAGAAAUUAAUAUCAGGUCUCUUAACACUUUUGAGUUCACCUUAUUAGUUUUACAAUCUGGCUCUAACAAAGAGUCUUAAAAUGUUCUUGUCUAUUGGUAAAGAACACUUUAUUUUCGUAUACUUGUAACACUUGUUUUUACAACCUGUAUUUUAUAAAAAACAAAAUAUCAUUAAUAAUAACAGAUAAUCCCAGUUUAACCCAGCACUGACUAAGUUUACUGGUACGCAGCGUAUUGGGCUUUAAAAACAAGUGUUGCCACCAUCAGGUGUUGAUUCUCUGCUCACAUUCAGCUACUUUUUUUGUUAAGGGAAUCAUGUUGAGAGUUCCUCCAGAGAAUUUCAUUAUGUAUCACUUUUUUAUGGUUUGUGUCUUUUUAUGGCAAUACAAAUACAUGAAAACUCCAAAGUU